rnacentral:rRNA from 1 species
GGCUGUGUUAAUAACGUUGAGGAAACACCCGUUCCCAUCCCGAACACGGAAGUUAAGCUCAAUAGUGGCGAUGGUACUGCAGUUUUAACUGUGGGAGAGUAGCAAGACGCAGCCU